ensembl:lncRNA
GUACUUAACUUCAUGUUCUGCUUUCUGGCUGGCUUCUGGGUUUCACAUUCCUCUUGUCAAGCACUAGCUCUUCCUUCUAUGACUGCUGAUCUUUUUCUUUUCUGGCCUUGGGUUUACUGCCCUGUUUCCUGCCUUCUUCACUGUGCUAUUUGAGGAUGCCUGUUGUCAGAGACUAGAAAAUUCGUGUCCAUUGGAGGAAAGAAAAUAGAGAAAGCCCUUCAAUGAAACUGCAAACAUGUAGGACAACAAGCUACAGACAUGCAUCAGGACGUCUCAGGCAUCACAGAUUGUGUGUCUGGAGUGCACAUAUCUAUCACAUGCUGUAGAGUGAGGACUGAAGGAUUGAAAGGAAUCUCCAUCACCUUUUUAGAAGAGAAAAUAACUCAUAUGAGCCUACAAUGCUUUCUUAUGGUUCUUCUGUAAGUUCUAAGGGUGGGAUAAAAAGAUCUUGCCAAGAGGCUUGUGGAAUCUUAGCUCUUUGACCAUGGAUCAAACCUACACCACCUGCAUUGGAAGGCAAAGUCUUAACCACUGGACUACCAGGGAAAUCCCACAAUCAGCACCAUCAUAUCCCCUUAACUCCCCAAGGGGCUCUUCUUGCAUUUAUUUUCACCUUCUAUAUUGACCUUCAGUAGAGAAUAAAAAUGAGAGAGAGGUCUGGACAGCGGCCCUCCUCCACUCAGUGACCUUCUUGGAUAUGGCGCCUGCAUUCCAUUCCCAGCACAGGGCUGGCUCCAAGGACGGGAGCCCUUUGCAAAGCACUGUUUCCCAUAGUUCCUGAUGCCUUUGUUCUGAGAUAAAGUAAGCCUGUGCUCCAUCCCCUCUGCCAAGCUUCUGCUUAUCACUAGGCAAGGCAAAUAUCAUUGGAAUGUUUCAGUGCACUAUUAGCCAAAUUCCAAUGCAAUCCCAAUCACUUGAUUAAGUGUUUUGAGGACUCACUAGUCCUGGCAUUGACAAGUCCUUGUAAGAGAUCAACAGUGUCAAUGGGAAUAAAUAUUAGCUUGUCCUUUCACAUUGAAUAUGUCAAGCUGACCUACAAGGAUGUAAGCACGCCAAGGGCUGCAAUUUCUGUUUGUUUUGUCUCCAAUAUAUCCCCUAAUACACCUGGAAUGCUACCAGAACAGUUCCCUGAAAUAGUGCCCGGGACAUAGUUGGUGCUUAAUAAAUGAC